GGCGGACGUAGCCAAGUGGAUUAAGGCAGUGGAUUGU
rnacentral:tRNA from 3 species